rnacentral:rRNA from 1 species
UAAACUAGGAUUAGAUACCCUAUUAUUUUAGAUGUAAAUUUUUACCUAGGUAAUAACAUUUUAUUUAAACCUAAAGAAUUUGGCGGUGUUUUAGUCUAUUCAGAGGAAUUUGUCUCUUAAUCGAUAAUCCUCGUUGUAUCUUGCUUUUUCUAUUUAGUAUGUAUAUCGCCGUUAUAAGUUUAUUUUUUUAGAAUUAUUUACUUUAUAAUUAAUUUAUUAUUAUUUCAGGUCAAGGUGCAGUUUAUGUUAAAGUGAUGAUGAAUUACAUUAUUAUAUAAAUUUUUGGAUAUAAUUUUUAUAAUGUUAUUUAAAUUGGAUUUGUUUGUAAUUUUAACUAUAAAAUUAAUUUGAUUUUAGCUCUAAAAUGAGUACACAUCG